UGUGAAUGGAAAGGUUUAGAAUUUUCUUCAAUUAUCCACCUAAAUGGUUAAUCGUGAACGGAUUUUUAUUUUUAUUUUUUUUAAAUAGUCUUGUAUUUGUUAUCGUUUAUACUUCAACCUGCAUAAGUUAGUAUCAUAGCUGAGUUUAUGCUCCUAACAAUGGAUCAAUGAGGACAAGUUACAUGUUGUGGUUCCAUGGUUGAUUAUAGGAGUUGUAGAGAUGAGCUAAUGAAAAUCAGUCUCUUGAUGUCGAGGCAAAAAAGGUGGCAAGAUUGGUUAUCCCCAGAUGGUGGGUGACCUUUAUGGCGAUAGGCUAGAGGGAAGUGGCGGUGAGCAUGACAUGCAUGUUGUGACUGCCUGAGGCUAGUCUAAUGGUGGGUUUAGUCCCGAAGCUACCUGUGGAUAGGGUUGCAAAUGGAAACUCAAAGAUGGAUAGUGUUCCGGUGGUUGAGUGCUUGAUGUUGUAGGAUUGACUAGCAGCCCCUGUAAAGACUGUGUUUCAAAUUAUUGUACGGAUGUUAAGAUGGAGUUAAGACACAAAUUCAUCAAUCUUUCAUGAAGAACUCAUGUCUAGAUUCUCAAGAAGAAAUUUGAGAAACUCGAUAUCGAUGAACAUAAAAAUUCUCAAUGUCAGGUGAUGACCACCACAGAUCAUGGCAGUUGGUAACUUGAAACGACGAUGAUGCAAAUGAAAUAUUUAACACUUGAAUGGUUGGUUUUCAAUAGAAGGCCACAUGGCUGAACGAGUCUUAGAAUCAAAUACAUUUCGUGAAACAUUUGAAACUUACAAUUUUGCAAUACAGUAACUACGGAUGUUUGGGUGAUUCUGUUGGGAUUCAAUGAAAAUUUUUAAUAGUCACUCAGGUUUUGAAUUAAGAUAUAUGGGAUAAUAUUUAUGUCAUUGACGUAUUAUGAUAACACGCCCCAAGAUUUGAGGACGAAUUUUCUCCAACUAAAGGAGAAUGAUGCAAGUAGACCCCGUAGAAUAUAUAUAUACACACACACACACACACAUAUAUACACCUUUGUUUGAGUCACAUUAUUUCGAUAAGAAUGCAUUUUUGAAUAGUGUAUUGAUAGAAAAUGUAUAGUUAAAAAAUGAGGAAAUUUUUUGAAUUUAAGUGUAAUAUUAUUUUAUUGAAAAAUGUGUGAUUGAAAUGAUUUCAAAUCAUUGUUUAAUAAUGUCUCUUUU
rnacentral:lncRNA from 1 species